GUCGAGCGGGGUUACUGUGGUAGAACCCUUCGGGGUGAAACUGCUUUAACCUAGCGGCGGACGGGUGAGUAACGCGUGGGUAACCUGCCCUAAAGACCGGGAUAACAGCGGGAAACCGCUGCUAAUACCGGAUACCUUUACUGGGGGGCAUCCUCUGGUAAAGAAAGGAGCAAUCCGCUUUAGGAUGGGCCCGCGUCCCAUUAGCUAGUUGGUGAGGUAACGGCUCACCAAGGCGACGAUGGGUAGCCGGCCUGAGAGGGUGAACGGCCACACUGGGACUGAGACACGGCCCAGACUCCUACGGGAGGCAGCAGUAGGGAAUCUUGCGCAAUGGGCGAAAGCCUGACGCAGCGACGCCGCGUGAGCGAAGAAGGCCUUCGGGUCGUAAAGCUCUGUCCUCAGGGAAGAAGGAAGUGACGGUACCUGAGGAGGAAGCCCCGGCUAACUACGUGCCAGCAGCCGCGGUAAUACGUAGGGGGCGAGCGUUGUCCGGAAUUACUGGGCGUAAAGGGUGCGUAGGCGGCCCUUUAAGUCGGGUGUGAAAGUCCACGGCUUAACCGUGGGAUUGCACUCGAAACUGGAGGGCUUGAGUGUCGGAGAGGGUAGUGGAAUUCCCGGUGUAGCGGUGA
rnacentral:rRNA from 1 species